UACGGGAGGCAGCAGUGGGGAAUAUUGCACAAUGGGCGCAAGCCUGAUGCAGCCAUGCCGCGUGUAUGAAGAAGGCCUUCGGGUUGUAAAGUACUUUCAGUCGUGAGGAAGGUGUUAAGGUUAAUAACCUUAGCAAUUGACGUUAGCGACAGAAGAAGCACCGGCUAACUCCGUGCCAGCAGCCGCGGUAAUACGGAGGGUGCGAGCGUUAAUCGGAAUUACUGGGCGUAAAGGGCACGCAGGCGGUUAAUAAGUUGGAUGUGAAAUCCCCGGGCUUAACCUGGGAAUGGCAUUCAAGACUGGUUAGCUAGAGUCUUGUAGAGGGGGUAGAAUUCCAUGUGUAGCGGUGAAAUGCGUAGAGAUGUGGAGGAAUACCGGUGGCGAAGGCGGCCCCUGGGACAAAGACUGACGCUCAUGUGCGAAAGCGUGGGGAGCAAACAGGGAUUUAGAUACC
rnacentral:rRNA from 1 species